UACGUAGGGUGCGAGCGUUAAUCGGAAUUACUGGGCGUAAAGCGUGCGCAGGCGGUGAUGUAAGACCGAUGUGAAAGCCCCGGGCUUAACCUGGGAACUGCAUUUGAUACUACUGAGCUUGAGUACGGGAGAGGAUAGUGGAAUUCCCAGUGUAGAGGUGAAAUUCGUAGAUAUUGGGAAGAACACCGGUGGCGAAGGCGGCUAUCUGGACCGUAACUGACGCUGAGGCGCGAAAGCGUGGGGAGCAAACAGG
rnacentral:rRNA from 1 species